rnacentral:rRNA from 1 species
AACGAACGCUGGCGGCGUGCCUAAUACAUGCAAGUCGAGCGGACCUCUUCGGAGGUCAGCGGCGGACGGGUGAGUAACACGUGGGCAACCUGCCUGUAAGACUGGGAUAACACCGGGAAACCGGUGCUAAUACCGGAUAAUCCUUUUCCUCACAUGAGGGGAAGCUGAAAGACGGUUUCGGCUGUCCCUUACAGAUGGGCCCGCGGCGCAUUAGCUAGUUGGUGGGGUAACGGCCCACCAAGGCGACGAUGCGUAGCCGACCUGAGAGGGUGAUCGGCCACACUGGGACUGAGACACGGCCCAGACUCCUACGGGAGGCAGCAGUAGGGAAUCUUCCGCAAUGGACGAAAGUCUGACGGAGCAACGCCGCGUGAGCGAAGAAGGCCUUCGGGUCGUAAAGCUCUGUUGUCAGGGAAGAACACGUACCGGAGUAACUGCCGGUACCUUGACGGUACCUGACCAGAAAGCCACGGCUAACUACGUGCCAGCAGCCGCAGUAAGAC